AACGGGUGAGUAAUGCAUAGGAAUCUGCCCGGUAGUGGGGGAUAACCUGGGGAAACUCAGGCUAAUACCGCAUACGUCCUACGGGAGAAAGCAGGGGAUCUUCGGACCUUGCGCUAUCGGAUGAGCCUAUGUCGGAUUAGCUAGUUGGUGAGGUAACGGCUCACCAAGGCGACGAUCCGUAGCUGGUCUGAGAGGAUGAUCAGCCACACUGGGACUGAGACACGGCCCAGACUCCUACGGGAGGCAGCAGUGGGGAAUAUUGGACAAUGGGGGAAACCCUGAUCCAGCCAUGCCGCGUGUGUGAAGAAGGCCUUCGGGUUGUAAAGCACUUUCAGCGAGGAAGAAGGCCUGGGGGCUAAUACCCCUCAGGAAGGACAUCACUCGCAGAAGAAGCACCGGCUAACUCCGUGCCAGCAGCCGCGGUAAUACGGAGGGUGCGAGCGUUAAUCGGAAUUACUGGGCGUAAAGCGCGCGUAGGUGGCUUGAUAAGCCGGUUGUGAAAGCCCCGGGCUCAACCUGGGAACGGCAUCCGGAACUGUCAGGCUAGAGUGCAGGAGAGGAAGGUAGAAUUCCCGGUGUAGCGUUGAAAUGCGUAGAGAUCGGGAGGAAUACCAGUGGCGAAGGCGGCCUUCUGGACUGACACUGACACUGAUUGCGAAAGUGUGUGUAGCAAACAGGAUUAGAUACCCUGGGUAGGCCACCCCCAAAAACGAGGUCGACUAGCACAGGGGGGUCCUUGCAUCGUUACGUUGGGGGCUACACCAAAAGGGAAACCCCCCCUGCUGGGGAGUACGGCCGCAAGGUUAAAACUCAAAUGAAUUGACGGGGGCCCGCACAAGCGGUGGAGCAUGUGGUUUAAUUCGAUGCAACGCGAAGAACCUUACCUACCCUUGACAUCGUGCGAACUUUCCAGAGAUGGAUUGGUGCCUUCGGGAACGCACAGACAGGUGCUGCAUGGCUGUCGUCAGCUCGUGUUGUGAAAUGUUGGGUUAAGUCCCGUAACGAGCGCAACCCUUGUCCCUAUUUGCCAGCGAUUCGGUCGGGAACUCUAGGGAGACUGCCGGUGACAAACCGGAGGAAGGUGGGGACGACGUCAAGUCAUCAUGGCCCUUACGGGUAGGGCUACACACGUGCUACAAUGGUCGGUACAAAGGGUUGCAAUACCGCGAGGUGGAGCUAAUCCCAUAAAGCCGGUCUCAGUCCGGAUCGGAGUCUGCAACUCGACUCCGUGAAGUCGGAAUCGCUAGUAAUCGUGAAUCAGAAUGUCACGGUGAAUACGUUCCCGGGCCUUGUACACACCGCCCGUCACACCAUGGGAGUGGACUGCACCAGAAGUGGUUAGCCUAACUUCGGAGGGCG
rnacentral:rRNA from 1 species